UACGAAGGGGGCUAGCGUUGUUCGGAAUCACUGGGCGUAAAGCGCAUGCAGGCGGAUCGCUAAGUCGGGGGUGAAAUCCCAAGGCUCAACCUUGGAACUGCCUCCGAUACUGACGAUCUUGAGUCCGGGAGAGGUGAGUGGAACUGCGAGUGUAGAGGUGAAAUUCGUAGAUAUUCGCAAGAACACCAGUGGCGAAGGCGGCUCACUGGCCCGGUACUGACGCUGAGAUGCGAAAGCGUGGGGAGCAAACAGG
rnacentral:rRNA from 1 species